GCCUGGGUGGCUCAGUCGGUUAAGCAUCUGACUUUGGCUCAGGUCAUGAUCUCACACUCUGUGAGUUCGAGCCCCAUGUCGGGCU
rnacentral:tRNA from 1 species